CGGCCAAUCAGCGCGCGGCUUCCAUUUUGUGAGUUCAACUCCGAGGCUCUCGGGCUUCGCGAGGACGCGUUUGCAGCCCCCUCUGCCUCUCCUGUCUGGCGACCGAGGAGAGGGAGCCGCCUCGCUGGGGCUUCGUGAGCAGUAAACAGUCCUCAGCGAAGCCGCCUUUUGCCAACCCAACCCUGGAAAGUUUGCAGAAGUGGAAGGAGCAGAAAAUGCCAUGAGAGUGUAACUUUAAAAAGCUUGAUCUUCCAGACUCCAUGGCACCGGGCUGAGCGGUAAGUAAAAAAAAAAAAAAAAAAAAAAGUGUAUUUGCCCCUUCGAGGAAAUGUUUUUUCGAGAAGGCCAAGCGCUGCAAAUGUUUAGGAGCUGAGGGGAGUAGGAGGUUUCUGGAGCUUCACGUUUGGCAGCCGGAUCGGGGAGGGUGGGGGCACGAGGAGGACUCUUCAGACCCUUUGCCCCUUUUGCCCAGGAGGCAAGAGGAAGGUCUCCCCAGCGAUUUGGGGCAUCCAUGGAGCCGCCUGCGCUAGUUCCCCUCUCUUUUCUAGGUUUGAGCCUUGAUAGGGAGAAGAAAUUGAAGUGCUUUGGGGAAGGGGGUCACAAAAGCUGAGGAAGCCUCUCCUUCCGGGCCUGAGGCCUCUUUUCCUUUUGGUGGUUGGGGUCUCGCCCUCCGAAGCCGGCUUUUCGGGGCUCCUGGGCGCGCCUGCGCUUCCUAAGCAAAAAAGGACAAAAGGCCGGCGUCCAUGUUGGCACCAUGACGCAGCAUCUCUCCCGCUUUGCAGCCCCAGCGCUGCUUGUGCUCCCGUCCGCGCUCGCUCCUCCCUCGCAAACACGAGUUUUAUUUUCAGGUUCAGAGCAGAGCCGCCGGCUGGGCUGGGGCCGAGGCUGGGGCCGGAGCCAGGGCCGGGCUGCGGGGUGGCUAAUGGCGGCCGCUCUCUUUCUUCCUCCCUCCUUCCCCGGUUGUCGUUGGGACCCCGGAGCAGGCGGCGGUCCGUCGGCCGGGCGGAGCCCUGAGAACCUGCGGGGCACAGUGCCCCGGGUCGGGGAUUGGUCUCCGAGGCCGUUUCGGGGGCCGCGGGCCUUGGGGGGCGUCGCGCGCCGAGGCUCCCGCGCUCGCAUCCGCGGGGCGAGGCGGCCAGACAGGCGCCAUUUCGCGCGCGCCGCCCGCGGCUCGGGCGGUGGCGGCCGCAGCGCGCCAGGCGGGAGGAGGGAAGGAGGCGGCGGGGCCGGAGC
ensembl:lncRNA